AACUAUGGUUAAGGAACUCGGCAAAUUACCCCCGUAACUUCGGGAGAAGGGGGGCCACAGACUGUCAAACUCCAUGCGGGUGGCAGCGGUAGGUGGCCGCAGAGACCAGGGGGAAGCGACUGUUUACUAAAAACACAGGUCCGUGCGAAGUCGUAAGACGAUGUAUACGGACUGACGCCUGCCCGGUGCUGGAACGUUAAGGGGACCGGUUAGUCCGCAAGGGCGAGGCUGAGAACUUAAGCGCCAGUAAACGGCGGUGGUAACUAUAACCAUCCUAAGGUAGCGAAAUUCCUUGUCGGGUAAGUUCCGACCUGCACGAAUGGCGUAACGACUUCCCUACUGUCUCAACCAUAGGCCCGGCGAAAUUGCACUACGAGUAAAGAUGCUCGUUACGCGCGGAAGGACGGAAAGACCCCGGGACCUUCACUAUAGCUUGACAUUGGUACUCGAAUUGAAUUGUGUAGGAUAGGUGGGAGACUUUGAAGCUCGGACGCCAGUUCGGGUGGAGCCAAACUUGAAAUACCACUCUGUUGAAUUUGGGUAUCUAACUUCGGACCGUGAUCCGGUUCAGGGACACUGUCUGGUGGGUAGUUUAACUGGGGCGGUUGCCUCCUAAAAUGUAACGGAGGCGCCCAAAGGUUCCCUCAGCCUGGUUGGCAAUCAGGUGUUGAGUGCAAGUGCACAAGGGAGCUUGACUGUGAGACUGACAGGUCGAGCAGGGACGAAAGUCGGGACUAGUGAUCCGGCACCUGCGAGUGGAAGCGGUGUCGCUCAACGGAUAAAAGGUACCCCGGGGAUAACAGGCUGAUCUUCCCCAAGAGUCCAUAUCGACGGGAUGGUUUGGCACCUCGAUGUCGGCUCGUCGCAUCCUGGGGCUGGAGUAGGUCCCAAGGGUUGGGCUGUUCGCCCAUUAAAGCGGCACGCGAGCUGGGUUUAGAACGUCGUGAGACAGUUCGGUCCCUAUCCUCCGCGCGCGCAGGAGACUUGAGAAGGGCUGUCCCUAGUACGAGAGGACCGGGACGGACGAACCUCUGGUGUGCCAGUUGUCAUGCCAAUGGCACGGCUGGUUAGCUACGUUCGGAAGGGAUAACCGCUGAAAGCAUCUAAGCGGGAAGCCUGCUUCAAGAUGAGGUCUCCCACCCCUUGAGGGUUAAGGCCCCCAGCUAGACCACUGGGUUGAUAGGCCAGAAGUGUAAGCCUGGUAACAGGUUCAGCCGACUGGUACUAAUAGGCCGAGGACUUAA
rnacentral:rRNA from 1 species